rnacentral:rRNA from 1 species
UUGCUGAAAAUGGGAGGGUAGCCAUAUAUAAUACAGCAGAUGAUGAUACUUCUGUUUUUAUAAGUUUGCACCAGGAAAAGGAAAAAAAUUGGACUGAUAAAGAGGAUAAAAUGGUAUAUAAGCAAAAUAGGAAUUUUAUUCAUAUGAGCUUUUUCAUACCUUUUUUUCUUUUUCCUUUUUUUUUCCUUCCUGUAAUGCACAUUUUUGAAUACUAAGCCACAUUCACGCACUGGUGUUUUUUUUUAAGUAAUUAACACUCUUUUUAAAGUGUUUUCGCCAGGAGGAAGAAGUCCCUGCAAUUGCCCAUAAGCGAUUGGAUCUUAUUUUUCCAGAAUUUAAUUUUCAAGGCGUCAAAAAUGUCCCUUGCUACAGAGCAUGAUAGAAACCUUACUUGUUAAGUCUUCAUGUUUCGGUUCAAUAUUGGAUACCAAUUGUAGGGUAUAUGCGUGUCUAAAUUUGAUUGGGGCGAGGUAAUAAAUUGUGGUUGUGAAAAGAAUUAUAGAAAUUGUGUGUGUGCGAAAUGGAAAAAUUAAUAGACAGAUAUAUACUCUUUCGAGUGUCUUGUUUUUUUAUUUUUUUCCAUCAGCAUGCUCCUUUUUUUUUUUUUUUUUUCUGCUUCCACUUUUUAUCUCCUUUGACUCAAUAACACGCACGAAGUUGAGUAGGAUCCCUGUGACAUGCUCGGGCCAUUUCUGAUUGCAUUAGAACUGGACACUUGUGUGAGCAGUGGAUAUCGAAAUGAGUUCUUCCGGGUGUUUUGUGGCUGACAAAACAAUCUGGGAAUGUUUUAUAUAGUAGUCUUUGUUACCCCAUAUAUAUUUUAUAUAUAUAUGCUACGACGGACCCAGGGUUGAUUAAGGCGAGUUGGAAAAAGGGAGCUGCAUUCACCUUACUGGUAUAGAUCCCAGAACGUGGGUUGCACCUCUUUUUUUUUUCCUUCUCUGGCACCUUAAUCAACAUUGGAGUUACUGCUUUAGAGAGCGGCAUAAGCUUGUAGCUAGUACCCAAAGGUUUUACAGUACAGAAAGCGUCAGAGCUAGUAAUGUUUCAUCCUUCGGGGUGAUAAUAGGAACGUAAUGACGCCUUUCUCGUUCAGUCUUAACUGAUGGCAAAAGGUCAGCUGUGUCGUCAAACAUGUUUCAUCGUUUUUUUCUUUUAAAAAAGAUGGACAUGCAUUUUUAAAGUUAGUUCUCUGGCGUAUAGCACGAAUGGAAAUGCACGGUAUUUGUAGCAACCGUUUUUUCAUACCUAUACAAACCAUAAAGUAUUCGAAAUAUAAGGCAGAAGGGCGAAUCCGCUGAAAAUUAAAAAAUUAAGCGGAAGAAAAGAAAAUAACAAUGAUUCCUUUAGUAACGCCGAGUGAACAAGGAAAAGCUCAAGCUGAAAAUCUUUCAAUAGAAAGAGGAGACACCUUUUUACGGAGGUGCUUUUUCCUCUUUCUGCAAAGAGUUGUAGCAUUAUAAAUGAGAGAUGACUAUAUAGUAUUACUAGUUGGUUUACAUAAAUAUAUAGGAGAUCAGUAAACAUCCUUGAAAAUUUAAAAACAUAUUUAUUUACAAGAAAACGAAAUUUUCUUUAAUGCAGGAUAGCAUUCCCACAGAGGGUGAAAGGCCCGUAGUUUUCUGUAAAUAUAUGCAAAAGAGUGUAGUUUUGAGGGGUAUAGCGGAAAAGGAUCUUUUCCCUACUCUCACCAUUUCUACAUUUCUUUAUUUUUCUUGGAUAUCUUUCAUUUUAGAGUUGUGUUCAUGAAAUUGGAGCACUAAUAUGUGUGGUGCAUGGGAAGGGUUUUGGUGGUGCUGUGGGUUUUUGGUCUGUCCUGCUCGAGGCUUUGCCUGUACCGAUGAGUGUGCAGGGGGAGUAAAGGCACGGACAGAAUCAUAACUUAUACACGGUGGUACGCCCCCUUCUUUCAACUUUUUUUUUUUUUUUUUUAAAAAGAAAAAAUUGUUGUUUUUAAUCACAUAAAGCUAAAUAUGCGUAGGAGACCGAUAGCAAACAAGUACCGUAAGGGAAAGAUGAAAUAGUACUCAGGAAUGAGCGAUUAAAUAGUACCUGAAAUCGUUAAGGUGGAACGGAUUAAGGAAGAGAAAAAGUAAGGUAAAGUGUUUACUUCUUUCGGCAUGCUUUCUCUAGGUGUUAUAUCUGCCACUCGAACUGGUUCUUCCAGAGUAUGAACAGAGAGAAUCUGCUUUCUUACCAGCGCGAGACACUUCGCAGUGGGUUCCCUGGCACAGAGACAUGACUGGGGGAAUGCUGAAUGCUUAUCUUAUUUAAAGAAACAUCAGUGAAGGGUAUUUUUUUUUUUUUUAGGGAACGUUGCAAAGUGUGAAGCGGACACGGGUGGUUUGGGGGAGAAAAAAGGAAAGAAGGGAAGAGAAAGAAGCGCAUAUAUAUGUACAUACAUAUAUAUGUAUGUAUGUAUAUAUGUAUGUGUUUUUUUCUCUUCCCUUCUCUUUUCAUUUUUUGACCUCUUCCCCCGGUUUUCCCCCUGGCUAAGGAGGGGUGACAUUAAUUGUGAUAAAUUUCACAUUGAUAUUAUGUUAGUUUUGCCACACGGUUGGAAGAACUUUGUGGUUCCCUUCCCCCCACCAGCCUCGCACUCUUUCUCAUUCCCCUUCGGGUGCGUAUGUGUGGAGUGUUGCGGGAUGGUGAGGGAGGGGGGGGACUGCGGUUCUCUCAACUGUGUUUUUACGCACGUUAUUCCCCCCUUUACUGAGGUAGAUUUUGAAAAUAGUAAAAAAGUGGAUGCGAAAGUGGCCUCUUCUUUACUUUUUAAGAUGUUUCUAAAAAGGUCUUCCCUAACCCUCUCGUCUAGAAACACGAACCAAGGAGUCUAGCAGAUAUGCAAGCGAACAUGAUCACAAUUUAUUUGUGAAGUUAUUAAACAUAUGACUGCGGUGCUUAGUAGUGGUGCCCAUGAGCUAAGCGAAACGAACCCAGCUAGUUUUCGCGUUGUGGUUCUUAAUGGAUCACCUUUUGUAGAUUUGAAAUCCCUAUCUCGUGUUGUGUUUACAUAUAGACCAACGGAAAGAAAAAAAAUGAACGAGUCGUGGAAUUUGAUGCUUACAAAUUACGGUUAAAAGUUAGUAAUGAUAUAAUUUCUUUUUUACUUUUACCGUAGGAGUAUAUAUGCUAGGACCCGAGAGGCUUUGAACUAAGAACCGCGUUGAAGUCCAGAAUUUGCCACAUGAAUUUCAAUGGGAGGAUUGUUAUUUCAUUUUGUGUGCAUUUGGGAUAGUUCACAUCAACCGCGCUUUUUUAGGGGUAUACGAAUAGAAAUUAAAAAUCACGCGUUGCCUUGAUUGAAAAGCCUAUUAGCUGGUUAUUUUCGAAAGAUCUCUCAGGAUCGCUGGAGUUGAUUAUUAUAAUUUUACCAGGUAUAGAGACACUGAUUAAUAGGAGUGAAGGAAAUUGAAUUUCCUUCACCUAUUAUCAAACUCCCAAUGGGUAAAAAAAUGUUAAAAAUAACUUUAUGUUAUUUUUCUCAAUUGAAAUAAGAUAACUCCAAGUGGGCCAUUUUUGGUAAGCAGAACUGGCAAUGAGGGAUGAACCUAAUGCCUGGAUAAGGUGCCUAAAUAUUCGCUCAUUAGAUACCAUAAAAGGUGUUGGUUCAUAAUGACAGUUGGACGGUGCUCAGUGAAGUGGAGAUCCGCUAAGGAGUGUGUAACAACUCACCUACCGAAUGAACUAGCCCUGAAAAUGGAUGGCGCUAAAGCGAAUUACCGAUACCAGGCCAUAAAAGGAGCAAAAUAUAAUAUAUUAUAUUUUUGCAAUUCUUUUGUGAGUAGAAAAUCGUGGGGUUUUGUGCAGAAGCGAAAUACGUAAGUAUUCGUGGAACAUCUCCCUAGUGCAGAUCUUGGUGGAAGUAGCAAAUAUUCAAAUGAAAUACUUUGAAGGGCCUAUUAAGUAUAAUUAAAUCGUAUUGUUAUACGGAUAAAAUUUCCAAAUGCCUAUUGCCAUAUCCUCCUUAUGGAACCAACAUGGUAGCCGCUCCUCCGGAAUCACUUUUUUUUUUUUUUUUUUUUUUGCUUCCAAGCUUUGAAAGAAGGGAGGAAAUUAAAAAAAAAAAAAAAAAAAAAAGUGCAUUUGUGAAUAGUGCGGAAGGUUACACAAGAAACCCGCGAAGUGCAAAAUUGUCUUAGAUUUAUUGCGCACUGUGGUUGAGUGUUUCCUUUUCUGCUUUUUCAGUUUCGCGGGGAAAUCAGGUUUAUAAACCCUGAGCAAUUAAUUAUUUGAGCUCAUACUUUAAACCUGGCGACAGGAUUAUUUUUAUAAUUUUUGAAAUUCUAUCGAAGAUGAUUCUCUCCCAUCGGUAUGCAGAUAGGUGUGAGUUGUGCUGUUGUUUGCGGUAAUUAAAUAUUUUAUAUUUUUUUUCCUGCUUCAUAUGGUAUCACCCAUCCCCUGAUGCAUAGCCCACAAAAAUAUAUAAGUGAAGCAAAAUCUCGGAGUACAGGUUGCUCUUAAACCUUGCGUAGAUGAGAGUGCAUAUAUAUUGCAGAAUUGUUACAAAAUUUUUUUUUUGAACAUAGUAUGUUAAUAUAAUGCCGUUUUUGCUGAAGCCUUUGGAAUGGGAUAGGGAAAUGGAGAAGUAAAAAAAAAAAAAAAAAAAAAGAAAAGAAAAAGGAAAAAAUAUCAUAAAUAAAAUAAAGCAUAGUUGUGAGGUUACUUCUGAAGUAUUUUACUUCUAUGUUGUUCCUCCUCUUGUAAGUCUUUAUUUUCAUUUUUGAUUUGCUGCUUUUUUCUUUUUCUUUUUUUUUUUUUUUUUUUUUUUUUUUACAUAUCUCCUCAUCCCAUGCUGCAUUCCCAUAUACUCCUUAGUGCGCACUAUAUGGGUCUAAUUCGCAGUAUAUUUAUAUACGCAGUCGAAUUAUCCUUUAGGAAGGAUUGUCGUAUAUCGAAUGAUAGAGAUAUAAAAAAGACGAAUCAUGUUACUAUAAGUAAUCUGUCAAGGGUUUCCUAGGCGCUUAUGAACCCUGCGGGAUCUUUGUCGUUUAUAGAUGCAUCCUUUUCAGGUAGACGGUACCAUGUAUGGUGAUGGAUUUUUCAUCACCUAUUCGUGUGCUCGAUUAAUUAAACUAAAGUAGUAUCUGUGGGCAGGAAUUUUUUAUCCACGCAACGGUUGAUAGCCAUAGGCCUUAAAGUUUACAACUUAUAGAUAGAGAGCAAGUCGUAUGAGGGGAGUAAGAAAAGAGAAGCCAGGGGGGAUAUAUGAUUGGUGCGGUGGUAAGGAGUGAUACAUAUUGUAGUAACAUACAUAUAAUGUACUCGCGUAUUUAUCACCACACGAAUCAUAUAUCUCCCCCUCUCAUCCGUAACUUUUUUCUUUUAUAAGAGGAAGUUUGCUUAUGAUAACAUAGGAACGAGUAGACUAUAUAUAAAAAAGGGCGAAAUGGAACAUAGAGAAUUGGGAUCAGGUAUAAGGGACAUGUAAAGGGGUCUCUAUCCGUCUAGUUCGUCGGUUUUUUAUAGCCUGUCAGCUUCGUUCGCCGUUUUGGUUAAGCUGUGCAGAUAUUAUGGCUUGAGAAAAAUAAUAUAGGGAGUAGAAAUUUUACGACCUGUACUAUUAUGCCUCCCACUUAUUGAUGCUGAAGCUUGCUAUGUAUUAUCAGAGCUGAAUCGGAACAAGAAUAAAGGAAAAGAAGAAGGGGAAAAUACAAGAUCUACCCGGUUGUAUAGGAAAAUCAUGUGUCAUUGGUUUUUUUAUGACCUCCUAAUGAGAGAGAGACCAAAAGAACCCAUAAGAAUGACCGUUUCUGUCUGAUGCCUGAGGAUUGUGUCUUUUGGUAGAUAUUCCUUAUAAACGGUAUUGGUGAACACAGGUGUAUGCACGUGUAUAUACACUUAUGCAUAUUAGAUUAUGUUAUAAGUGUAGCUGCUGUGGCUGCUUGUGUAUCUACCAUCCCGUGGCAAAGGGCAGGAUUCAUAAAAAAAAUGAAAUUCCUAUGCCAAUCAGAGUUGUGCCAUUUUGCAUCCUGCAAUUUGAUACGUGAAUUUGAAUGGAGUAACCUCACCCAAAUGUUUAAAGAGGGGGGUAGAUUUUUCCCGUACUUCUUGUGCUCAUCCCUCUGCUAUAAAAAUAUUCUUGCUAUCUAGCGAAACCGCAUCCAAGGAAAAACAGGCUUGGAAUGUCAGUAAAAGGAUAUUGAAGACCUCAUGUAUUUGUAACUUGGCUCUUACUUUGAUCUGCUGAACGACUCAAGAGGUGUAGAGAAUAUUUUUGUAUAAGUGGGAGUAGAAGCAUAAUUUUGCGCUGGAGAAAUUAUGCAUUAUACGACAGUGAAAUACCACUACUCCUGAGGAUGUUCAGCUAACCCGUUAAAAAGAUUGGGAGGGGAGUGCCUGCGACACUAUUUGACAGAAGUUGCUUUGGGCUACUUCUUCUAUAUAAGCGUGCACAAAUGUGUGUAUGUGAAAUGGGGAAGGGGUUUAAAUGAUAAAUAACCAUUCUGGUUGAUUUUUUUUUUUAUUCCCCUCUUCAUCCCCUCAGUUGAACGGAGACACAUCAAGGUGAAGAGUGUAGCGAGCGGAUGAUGCGAGGGUCGAACUGAUAAGGAGUAUAAAGCAGAUUGACCAGUCGAGGGCAAGCUCAAGGAGAACAGAAAUCUCCUGUAGACCGGAAAAAAAAAAAAAACGGAUAUGCUUGCCUUUAUGUGUAGCCAUGAUGGAUAUGCAUACUCAUCCUCGCGAGAUAUAUAUAUAUAUAUAUUUUCCUUUUGUACAUUUAAAGAAAGGCAGAAUUAGCUCCUUAUAUUGUACCAAAUGUAUAGAAGGGUAUAUCUGAGAAAGGUUACUACAAAAGGAUAACUGGCUUGCGGCUACCGAGCGAUUUUAGCAACGUGGCUUUCUGAUAAUUAGACGUUGGCUCUUCCUAUCAUUGGGACGCAGAAAUCUCAAAGUGUCGGAUUGUUCACUCCGCUAAGAGGGAACGAGUGCCUAGAAUUUUAGAGACCUUCAUGAGACAGGUCGUGUUAAAAUGUAAAAAAUCCUUACUGAUGAAUUUAAAAUAAGAGACUGAUUAUUAAAUCGUCUAUCGAAAUGUGACAGUAGGCCAUCUUAGUACGAAAGGAAUAGUUGGCCCAGACAAAUGGUACAGCAAUUGGUUGACAAACCAGUGUUGCGAAGCUAAGUCUGUUGGAUAAUGGCUGAACGCCUCUUAAGCCAGAACCCAUGCUGAUUAAUUAUUUUGUGUUUGAUUUUCCUUACACUACUUCUUUUACGAU